rnacentral:rRNA from 1 species
AGUGAACGCUGGCGGUAGGCCUAACACAUGCAAGUCGAACGGCAGCACAGUAAGAGCUUGCUCUUACGGGUGGCGAGUGGCGGACGGGUGAGGAAUACAUCGGAAUCUACUUUUUCGUGGGGGAUAACGUAGGGAAACUUACGCUAAUACCACAUACGACCUACGGGUGAAAGCAGGGGAUCUUCGGACCUUGCGCGAUUGAAUGAGCCGAUGUCGGAUUAGCUAGUUGGCGGGGUAAAGGCCCACCAAGGCGACGAUCCGUAGCUGGUCUGAGAGGAUGAUCAGCCACACUGGAACUGAGACACGGUCCAGACUCCUACGGGAGGCAGCAGUGGGGAAUAUUGGACAAUGGGCGCAAGCCUGAUCCAGCCAUACCGCGUGGGUGAAGAAGGCCUUCGGGUUGUAAAGCCCUUUUAUUGGGAAAGAAAAGCAGCAGAUUAAUACCCCGCUGUUCUGACGGUACCCAAAGAAUAAGCACCGGCUAACUUCGUG